rnacentral:rRNA from 1 species
GCUUAGAGAGGGGUCAAUGUCCUAUCAGCUAGUUGGUAGGGUAAUAGCCUACCAAGGCUAAGACGGGUAGCCGGCCUGAGAGGGUGGUCGGCCACACUGGGACUGAGACACUGCCCAGACUCCUACGGGAGGCUGCAGUCGAGAAUCUUUCGCAAUGCCCGAAAGGGUGACGAAGCGACGCCGCGUGUGGGAAGAAGGCCUUCGGGUUGUAAACCACUGUCGGGAGUUAAGAAAUGCAAGGGUGUUAAUAGCAUCCUUGCUUGACUAAGGCUCCGGAGGAAGCCACGGCUAACUCUGUGCCAGCAGCCGCGGUAAUACAGAGGCGGCAAGCGUUGUUCGGAAUUAUUGGGCGUAAAGAGCACGUAGGCGGCUUUGUAAGUCAGUUGUGAAAGCCUUCUGCUCAACGGAAGAACAGCAUCUGAUACUGCAAGGCUAGAGUGCGGAAGGG